AACAGGCAGUAAAAGAACAAGAAAGUGAGUACAUAAAAUUAUUACAUCCAAAAGACCUAAAACUUAGACCUAUUAUAGCUGGUCCAGCAUGCCCUACACACCGUCUAAGCAAUUUUAUUGACAUUGUUUUGAAACCACUAUGUACUUACAUACCAAGUUUCAUCAGGGAUGACAUCGACUUCCUGUCCCAUCUUCCCAAAACAACAGAAACAAAUUCAGUUUUGCUAAGUUUUGAUGUGGUAAGCCUCUACACCAAUAUUCCACACGAUUUAGGAAUAAAGGCGAUUAAAUACUGGUUAGAAAAACAUAGAGAAGUGAUUCCCAGCAGAUUCACAGUGGCAUUUAUAUUAGACACAGUCAAACUUAUUCUAGAAAAUAACACAUUCUUCUUCAAUGGAAAGAAUUACAUCCAAAUUAGAGGCACGGCGAUGGGAACGAGGUUUGCUCCCGUUUACGCCAACUCUGUAAUGGGAUACUUAGAAGAACAACUCUACCAAGAGGUGGAGGUAAACUAUGGCACUGGAUUUAGAAAGUAUAUUGAAAAGGCAUGGAAGAGAUACCUAGACGACUGUUUCAUAAUCUGGACAGAAUCUCUAAAUACUCUGGAAGAGUUCAAUAUCCUCCUGAACAAACUACACCCAUCUCUCAAAUUUACAAAGGAGAUGAGUAGUACCAAAUUACCAUUCCUGGAUAUAAUGGUAAUUAAAAAUGACACCACCAUCACCACAGAUAUAUACUAUAAACACACAGACACACAUCAAUACCUAAAUUUUAAGUCGUGCCAUCCACCACAUACAAAACGUAACAUCCCAUACUGCCUAGCCAGAAGAAUUUGUACUAUUGUAGAAGAUGCAAAUAUCAGGAACAAACGCCUAAUAGAACUAAGAGAAUUUUUGCUCAAACAAAAAUACCCAUCUCUACUUAUAGAAAAUGGCAUACAGCGGGCUAUAAAAAUACCUAUACAACAACUUAGGACAACCCAAGGAAGAGGAAAACAAGAACAAGUCAUACCAUUCAUAGUGACACACAACCCAUGUCACCAGAAUAUCUUCAACAUUGCCAAAGCAAACCUUCCAAUCAUUGCCCAAAGUAAUGAAUUAAAAGACAUAAUCAAGGAUCGAGCUAUGGUGCUUAGUAAAAGACAGCCUAAAAACUUGAAAACAUUACUAACAAAGGCAAAAUUUGACCUCAGCAACAAAGACCAAACAUUCACGGUAUCUAAAUGCAAUGAUAGCCGAUGUGGCACAUGCCAAUUCAUACAUACCGGUCAAUAUAUAAACACAAAAACCGGGAAAAUAUUCACAAACGCGAAUAUGAACUGCAAAAGCAGAAAUUUAAUUUACUGCAUCAAAUGCCCAAAUUGUGAAGAAAUAUAUGUAGGUCAGACGGGAAACGCACUAUUAGAACGCUCACGUGUACACCGGCAACAGAUUAGAGACCCAGAGGUCCGUCAGAUACCUUUGAGUAACCACCUAGCAACAUGUGGUCGGAAAAUAUAUAUAAUAUUUCCAUUCUACAAAUUACACAGCCCAAGUGAAAUCGAGAGGAAAAUCAGAGAAAAGAAUUUUAUUGAUAAAUUCGAACCCAAGCUAAAUAAGCAAUAAUAAUAAUACUUAGAGGUAUUACUUCCACUGCUACGACCAUGACCACUAACAACAACAACAAUACUAAAGGUGAUCAAGACGAAGAUAGCAGGAAAAUUAUCUUAUUUAGGGUUAAAAGUUCUAUUGCCACCACCAUCACCACUAGCAACAAUAAUUAAGGUGCUGACAAUGAUGAUGAUGACAAUUGAAAUAUAAAAAUAUAAAAAUCUCUGACAAAGGAUAUUUACAACAUUUCUAAAAAUAACCCAACAAUUGCUGCUUCGGCCAGGGUCAAGAUACAGGACUCUUGACCUGUCCAACAAAGCGUGAUGCCUAAACCAAUCAGCUCAACCAACCAAUCAGCUUAAGUAAUUGAGUGAUACUACACACUGAUUGGUCAGAAUACAGUUUGCAAAACCUAGCACUCUGGAGCCUACCCAGCUGUAUUUAUAGCACAGAAUCACUCAUCUUGCUACAGUCAAAAAUUGUGAAGCAUGACUGUCAACACUACUACAUGAACCCGAAGAUUGCAGAAUUCAAUGCAUGAAAGUACUAGUUCAAUCAGAAUGAAUAUUUAACAUUCUACUAUUUCAUUUUAUUUUACUCAAUUAUAAUAUAUUAUCUUAUAAUAUAUCAUUAUAAGAUUGUAAAUAAAACGUGAAAAUCAGACAAGGUUGGAAUUCUUUUUAUUAAUAUAUUCUUCUAUACACAAUCACACACACCCAUAUAUAUAUAUAUCUAUAUUCCUAUUGUGUAUAUGCCAACAUGUCUGGAAAGCAACAAACAAAAUUAACAGAAUCCGAAAGAAUUCUAAUGGAAAUUUCAUCGAAAUUAUCAACACUCAUCACGAUGAUUGACACACAAUCCUCUAUUUUAAAGGAAAUAGAAAAACAGUCUACAGACGGAAAACUUGGAAAUGAACACAUAAACUCUGAAAUUAAGAAUUUAGCUGAAAUGAUACCAACAAUUAUAAAAUCUACAAGAGAAAGCCUACCACAACCUCCUUGGAUGUCAGAAAUAAACGAAAGAAAUCUGGAAAAAGAGGCACACCGAAAAAGAGAAGAGAUACAGAAGACAUGGAAAAAACUCCUUAACAUAAGAAAACAAAACUUCUGGAAGGCAUAUAAAUGCGAAAAAUAUGCUGAAAUACAUUCGAAAUGGAUAUCUUUAGCGGCACCCAUACUUCCUCGGAAGUACCUAAUUAAAGAAAUUGCAGGAGAACCAGAGGAAGAAACUAAACUUCGAUGGGACCUUAGUUUGAUAAAAUUCAGGACCGACAUCUCCAUUACCCUGUCUAAACAAUCCCGCUACAAAGCCAAAUACGAAGCUAUCGAUGAUCAAAUCAGAGAUGAAAUAUCCAAACUAACGACCGGCAAUAUAGCAGAAAAAAUGCGAGAACUAUGGAUCAGAGAUAUCUCAAAAGAAGAAAGCAGAUCAAGAAAGUUUUGGCAGCGGAAACAAUUAUUUCUCGACAAAUAUGCUACAAAUUACGGUAAAGACACCAGAACUCCGAGAAAUAGCAUUAAAAGUGGACAACCUCACCAACGCAACAUACACCAGAACACGUGGCAACAUGAACACCCGUUUCACCACGAAUCGAAGACGAACUACGGUAAGAACUCUUCCCAUUUUGUAUGCAAACACCCUAAUGCACACAACAUGAACAAAAAGCACAAACAAAAUAGAUAUUGUUUUGAACAAACCAUUAGCAGUAGAAAUAACAGGAGAUCAUUUUCAAGACCUCAACAGAGAUUACCCACAAGAAACUGGACAAAAAACCGAUCUAGAUCUAGAAGUAAACCCAGAUCAUUUCUCCAGGUGGUUAAAAACAAUGCUAACAAGAAAUUGAAAAGUAGCAUACAUAAUACCAAAAACAAGACAGAAAACAUAACGAAACCAAGUAAAGUACCACAACCAAAACGCAAAAUUCAUCAAGCAAACAUCAACAGGAAUAUAAAUCAUAACCAGAAAAAAAUCCAUUUUUUUACGUCAGGACAACAAACACCGGAGAAAGAAAAAAUCCAAGAGGAAACAUACCCCAAACAACUGAACGUAUAGAUCCUAAAAUAAUUAAUUUAUCAAAAAGAGAUCUUGACAAUGAUGAAAUCCAACUUCUGUCAAAAGGACUGAAAUUCACACCUACACCAACAGCCAACCACCAAGAAUUAAAGGAGGAUAUCCAAAAAUUCUGUCGAAAAUUACGACUUGUAGAAUUCUUCGCUAACAAAAGUAAUGAGAUUGAUGAAUCCCUAGUAAGGAAUAAAUCAAAUUUCACCCCACCAAAAGGAAGAAAUAACUACCUUGACCAAUACAUUGAUAUCCUGUCUAAAUUUCCCCUUAGACGCAAUACCAAUGUUAGGCCAAACAUUAGCAAAUCAGAGAUGUCUGCAUGUAAACGUAUACAAAACGAUCAAACAAUAAUAAUUAAACAAGCAGAUAAAGGUGGUGCAAUUGUUAUUAUGGAUACCGAAUACUAUAAGGAUUUGGUUGAAGACCAACUGAAGGAUACAACCUUCUAUUGUGAAAUACCCGCAAAUAUAGACCACCACAUCAUGAAAAAGAUCAACAACCUGAUUUCAACACACCACAACUCACUUACGGAUAAUGAAAAAGACUACAUCACCAAUUUUGAACCAAAACCCAGCAACUUCUACGGCUUACCAAAAAUACACAAAUCAAAAAACAUUCAACAGGCAGUAAAAGAACAAGAAAGUGAGUACAUAAAAUUAUUACAUCCAAAAGACCUAAAACUUAGACCUAUUAUAGCUGGUCCAGCAUGCCCUACACACCGUCUAAGCAAUUUUAUUGACAUUGUUUUGAAACCACUAUGUACUUACAUACCAAGUUUCAUCAGGGAUGACAUCGACUUCCUGUCCCAUCUUCCCAAAACAACAGAAACAAAUUCAGUUUUGCUAAGUUUUGAUGUGGUAAGCCUCUACACCAAUAUUCCACACGAUUUAGGAAUAAAGGCGAUUAAAUACUGGUUAGAAAAACAUAGAGAAGUGAUUCCCAGCAGAUUCACAGUGGCAUUUAUAUUAGACACAGUCAAACUUAUUCUAGAAAAUAACACAUUCUUCUUCAAUGGAAAGAAUUACAUCCAAAUUAGAGGCACGGCGAUGGGAACGAGGUUUGCUCCCGUUUACGCCAACUCUGUAAUGGGAUACUUAGAAGAACAACUCUACCAAGAGGUGGAGGUAAACUAUGGCACUGGAUUUAGAAAGUAUAUUGAAAAGGCAUGGAAGAGAUACCUAGACGACUGUUUCAUAAUCUGGACAGAAUCUCUAAAUACUCUGGAAGAGUUCAAUAUCCUCCUGAACAAACUACACCCAUCUCUCAAAUUUACAAAGGAGAUGAGUAGUACCAAAUUACCAUUCCUGGAUAUAAUGGUAAUUAAAAAUGACACCACCAUCACCACAGAUAUAUACUAUAAACACACAGACACACAUCAAUACCUAAAUUUUAAGUCGUGCCAUCCACCACAUACAAAACGUAACAUCCCAUACUGCCUAGCCAGAAGAAUUUGUACUAUUGUAGAAGAUGCAAAUAUCAGGAACAAACGCCUAAUAGAACUAAGAGAAUUUUUGCUCAAACAAAAAUACCCAUCUCUACUUAUAGAAAAUGGCAUACAGCGGGCUAUAAAAAUACCUAUACAACAACUUAGGACAACCCAAGGAAGAGGAAAACAAGAACAAGUCAUACCAUUCAUAGUGACACACAACCCAUGUCACCAGAAUAUCUUCAACAUUGCCAAAGCAAACCUUCCAAUCAUUGCCCAAAGUAAUGAAUUAAAAGACAUAAUCAAGGAUCGAGCUAUGGUGCUUAGUAAAAGACAGCCUAAAAACUUGAAAACAUUACUAACAAAGGCAAAAUUUGACCUCAGCAACAAAGACCAAACAUUCACGGUAUCUAAAUGCAAUGAUAGCCGAUGUGGCACAUGCCAAUUCAUACAUACCGGUCAAUAUAUAAACACAAAAACCGGGAAAAUAUUCACAAACGCGAAUAUGAACUGCAAAAGCAGAAAUUUAAUUUACUGCAUCAAAUGCCCAAAUUGUGAAGAAAUAUAUGUAGGUCAGACGGGAAACGCACUAUUAGAACGCUCACGUGUACACCGGCAACAGAUUAGAGACCCAGAGGUCCGUCAGAUACCUUUGAGUAACCACCUAGCAACAUGUGGUCGGAAAAUAUAUAUAAUAUUUCCAUUCUACAAAUUACACAGCCCAAGUGAAAUCGAGAGGAAAAUCAGAGAAAAGAAUUUUAUUGAUAAAUUCGAACCCAAGCUAAAUAAGCAAUAAUAAUAAUACUUAGAGGUAUUACUUCCACUGCUACGACCAUGACCACUAACAACAACAACAAUACUAAAGGUGAUCAAGACGAAGAUAGCAGGAAAAUUAUCUUAUUUAGGGUUAAAAGUUCUAUUGCCACCACCAUCACCACUAGCAACAAUAAUUAAGGUGCUGACAAUGAUGAUGAUGACAAUUGAAAUAUAAAAAUAUAAAAAUCUCUGACAAAGGAUAUUUACAACAUUUCUAAAAAUAACCCAACAAUUGCUGCUUCGGCCAGGGUCAAGAUACAGGACUCUUGACCUGUCCAACAAAGCGUGAUGCCUAAACCAAUCAGCUCAACCAACCAAUCAGCUUAAGUAAUUGAGUGAUACUACACACUGAUUGGUCAGAAUACAGUUUGCAAAACCUAGCACUCUGGAGCCUACCCAGCUGUAUUUAUAGCACAGAAUCACUCAUCUUGCUACAGUCAAAAAUUGUGAAGCAUGACUGUCAACACUACUACAUGAACCCGAAGAUUGCAGAAUUCAAUGCAUGAAAGUACUAGUUCAAUCAGAAUGAAUAUUUAACAUUCUACUAUUUCAUUUUAUUUUACUCAAUUAUAAUAUAUUAUCUUAUAAUAUAUCAUUAUAAGAUUGUAAAUAAAACGUGAAAAUCAGACAAGGUUGGAAUUCUUUUUAUUAAUAUAUUCUUCUAUACACAAUCACACACACCCAUAUAUAUAUAUAUCUAUAUAUAUAUAUAUAUAUAUACUGGCUUGCUCGCUUAGCCAGCGGGGUGGCGUCAUUCGAAGGCUAAAACAAUGCGAACGCAUUGUGACCAGCGAUGUGUAACAACAUCUGAUGGUCUGGUCGGUCACGUGAUCACGUGAUAUACAUAUAUAUACACACGCACACACACACAUAUAUAUACACCCACACAUAUACACAUUCCAUGUCAAGUCUAUGAAGUGCUACACAAAUGUUAAGAGGUGGCCACAUGGCAGAGCAGCGUACAAAGGCGUAGUGGUAUAUCUAUUGUUCAUGCUGUUGUUGUUGUUAUUUAGCCCCAGGCUACCACCCCGAUCCUGUAGACUUAUGAUCAAAGAUACAGGAUCCAUAUAUACGCCGUCUUUGACCCAUAAGGAACAAACCCCAAGGCUAUAUUAUUUCCAUAUAUGCAUUGUUAAGGUAUUGAGGUGCGAUUUGGGGGCGAUUAUGUGUGGUAGCUGUGUCUAGUGCGGUAGAAGUAGUGGUGGUGGUGGUGGUGGUGGUUGUGGUGGUGGUGAGAGGAUAAUGAUGGUGGUAGUAGUGGAGGUGGGGGUGAGAGCCGAUGUGAUUUUAUAAGAGAGAAACGCUGAAGAGUGGACAAUGGACAUCAUUACCUCCACUAACGCUGUCCACCAAUCUUCUUCAAACCAUCCUGAUUUACCGGAAGUUAGGCAGAUUUUAUCUUCAUUAGCAAAGAGCCAAAUAGAAAACCAAUUAUUUAAUUAUAUUUUUUCCUCAAAAACCUAAGCCCCUAACAUUUUUUUCCCUUUUUUCGACAAUCCAGGAAGAAAUCUUAUCUUGUUUGUUUUUAUUUUAAUUUUUCAUAUAUGCUGCUUCUUUAUUUCUUCCCUAAAAUCACCUUCUUCUUGUUAUUUCCUUCCCAAAUCCCCACAAAAUACACACACACUAAAGUACAUCUUUCUCUCACCAUCUCGUCAUCGAAUAUUUUGCUCCUUUAUUUCUUCUUUUCUCUCCUACCUCCCUUGCUCUCUCUCUCUCUCUCUCUCUCUCUCUCUCUCUCUCGUGUUAUUUUUUUAUUUCCUAUGUCGUCCUCGCUUUAUUUUUCACCCACCACCGUCUCCCCUCCUCACACACAUUUGGAUCAUAUUCUCUCGUCUUUUUCUCUUUCAUUUUCUGUAUUUCAUUCUUAACAUCAUUCUUCAUUCUUUUUCUUAUAUCUUCUUGAACAUAUAUAUGUAUGUAUGUGUGGAUGGAUGGAUAGACAGACAAACAGACAGACAGACAUACAGACAGACAGAUAGACACAGACAGACAGACAUAUAGACAGACAGACAGACAGACAGAUAGAUACAUACAUACAUACAUACAUACAAACAUACAUACAUACAUAUAUUGGGUCAUCCCAUAAAUAAUGCGGUUUUUUUCAACUGCAUAACUGAAAGUCGGAAGGGGGCAGGAUAAAACAACCUGCAUCAACUUCCUCUAAAAGCAGGUAGUAAUUUUACCUUGUCCUUAUUCUUAGUGCAAGUUUUGAAGAGUGCAGUUCGAUUUUAACAGUUAUUUUGUCAAAGCUAUAAUGGAAGUGGCAAAGGAGGUUAUUCGGUAUAUUUUGCUUUACAAGUUCAAUAAAGGCAAAAACGCAACGGAAAGUGCGAGGAAUAUUAAUGCAGUAUAUGGGGAUCGGACAAUAAGUGUAAGCCAGUGUCAAUGGUGGUUCCAGAAAUUCUGAGCCGGAAACUACAGUCUAAAAAACGAACGCAUCCUGAAAGAUCUGUAGAGCUUGACGGGGACGUCCUGCAAACCCUUGUGGAACAAAAUCCCACCGAAACUGUUGAGGAACUAGCAGAGAAGCUUGGAUUUGGUCAUUCAACCAUUCAACUGCGUGCCAUCGGAAAAGUCAUUAAAUUGUGUCAAUGGGUUCCUCACAAACUUUCCGAGUCUAAUCGCACAAAGAGUGACUGUGUGCUCUUCUUUUCUGUCACAUCUCAUGAAUAAACCUUUUUGGACCGAAGAGUGACUGGUGACGAGAUAUGGAUUCUCAAUAAAGAUGUCAAGCGCCGAAGACAGUGGGUAGGGAAAGGAGAAACACUGGCACCCCAGGCUAAAGAAGGUUUUCACCCACGUAAGGUGUUGUUAUCUGUUUGGUGGGAUAUGAAAGGUUCAAUCCACUUUGAACUAUUAAACCCAAACCAAACGAUAACAAAGGAGAUUUAAUGCGAGAAGCUUGAGCGGCUGAAGUCAGCGCUAGAAGAAAUAUGACUCUCUUUGGUUUCAAGACGAAAAUUGUUCUUCUAGCAAGAUAAUGCUGGACCACAUACAGCGAAGAUGACAUUCCAAAGGUUGGAGCAGUUUGAAAGGGAAACGAUACCCCAUCCACCAUAUUCACCGGACAUUACCCCAUCUGAUUAUCAUUUAUUCCGCAGUCUUGAAAAUCAUUUAUCCGGAAAAAUAUGAAUUCUGUAGACGAGGUGAGAACAGUACUGAAGGAGUAUUUUUCGUCACGGUCAAGUGAAUUUUGGAAGAGGGUCUUGGCAAGGAUCUUUUUUUAUAUUAACUUUGAAAAAUAUAUGAGGUAUAAAAAACCACAUUAUUUAUGGGAUGACCCCAAUAUAUAUAUACAUUCACAUACAUAUAUAUUAUGUAGUUAAGUAUAUAUGUAUGUAUAUAUAUGUGCGUGUGUAUUAUUACAUACUCGUCAAAAAUACAAUUUUAUACAUAUACACACAUAAACAUAUAUAUACAUACGUACACACAUACUUACAUAUAUUCAUGCAUACAUACAUGCUAAGUCUCUACUUACUAUGUAUAUAUUAUGUAUAUACGUACAUACAGCAUUUAGUAGAAACGGAAACGCCAGUAACGCAGCUUCCAGUUUCAUCUUUCGGUUCGUUAAGUAAUGACGAGUUAACAAAUAAUCUGUGUGUGUGUGAGAGAGAGAGAGAGAGAGAGAGAGAGAGAGAGAGAGAGAGAGAGAGAGAAAGAGAGAGCGAGAGAUAGAGAGUAACAUAUAACUUAGUGACCAUCGAAAUAUUGCAAAUUAAUUGAAAACAAGCUAAUAAUUGGAUUACUAGUUGAAUUCCGAUCAGGAACGUAAACAACCCAACACCCGUUUUCAUGCUCUGGGUGGAAAAACAGAAUUAUUAGGAAAAAGAGGCAAAAGCGACAACCUAACUGAAUUGUUACAGUGUUGGAUAAAAUAGUGACAUACACGCACACACACGCAUACAUAUAUUUGGUAAACUAACACAAUGAUCAAUAGAAAGGUGUGUGUAUAAAUGCGUGUAUAUAUGCAUGUGUAUGUGUGUGUAUAUGUGUAUGGGUAUAUUGUAAGGCGGCGAACUGGUAGAAACGUUAGCACGCCGGGCGAAAUUCGUAGCAGAAUUUCGUCUGUCGUUACGUUCCGAGUUCAAAUUCCGCCGAGGUCGAUUUUGCCUUUCAUCCUUUCGGGGUCGAUAAAUUAAGUACCAGUUACGUACUGGGGUCGAUGUAAUCGACUUAAUCCCUUUGUCUGUCCUUGUUUGUCCCCUCUGUGUUUAGCCCGUUGUGGGUAGUAAAGAAAUAUAUAUUUGUUUAGAGGCGGAAGAAUGAGCCCUCAAUACAUUACACUCGGAUCGAUUCUCGUUGGUGAGGAGCAGACACUCAGUAAAUCAAGAUACAUCAUAGUAAAGCUAAGAAACAGGUUUAAUAGCAUCUCCUAUUAUAAGCGGAACUCUCUAAUUAGACAUGCGCAUGUCAAGGGGAACCCUCAAUCCAUUGAACUCUUUAUUCCGAUGCUGCCGGCUAGCCAUCGAAAAUUACGCUUUCAGUUGGGCGGUGUCUGUUUUGUUUUGUUUUUAUCAUAAGAAAAACGAGACAUAGAUUACAAAACAUUCGUUGGUUUCAAAUUUUGGCAAGAGGCCAGCUUAUUCUGGGGGAUGGGCCAAAUCGAUUACAUCGACCCCGGUGCUCAACUGACCUUUAAUUUAUCAACCCCGAAAGGAUGAAAGACAAAGUCGACCUCGGCAGAAUUUUUACUCAGAACGUAAAGACGUACGAAGUGCAAUUAAGUAUCUUACACUGAUUGCUAACCUUUCUGCCAGUUCGCUAUUUUUACUCAAUAUCUAAUGAAGAGAGUGGUUGUUCCAUCGGUGCUUCCAUGACCAGUUACGAUGGAGUGAAAACAAUCCAUCUCAUUCUUCUUCUCAUUCUAAACAAUAUCCUCAUUACUCGGAGCUGCACCCAGAUGACAGCUUAACCAUUCUUUCCGAGUACGGUUAAAAUUUUCAAGAAAUUUCGUUUAAACAUGACCAACACCUGUCAUAAAAUUGGAUACCUGAUUUCACGGAAUAAAACCUGAAGAAUAUUUGUAUGUUUAUUCAUAUCUACAUACAAAUUACGCACAUGCACACACACAUACACACGCGCGCGCAUAUAUAUAUAUAUAUAUAUAUACGCACACAUACACACACGCACGCACACACACGCACGCAUAUAUAUAUAUAUAUAUAUAUAUAUAUAUAUAUAUAUACACAUACAAACGAGCAUACAUACACAUAUAGAGAUACCCUCAUAAAAGUAAAAAUGUACAUAUAUAGGUUUGAGUGUGUAUCUAUCUAUAUAUCUAUAUAUCUAUGUCUCUAUGCAUGCACAUACAUAUAUAUAUAUAUAUAUAUAUAUAUAUAUAUAUAUAUAUAUAUAUAUAUAUAUAUAUAUAUGUAUACAUAUAUAUAUAUAUAUAUAUAUGCAUACAUAUAUACGUGUAUAUAUAUAUAUAUGUGUGUGUGUGUGUAUGUGUGUAUAAAUGUAUAUAUACAUGUAUAUGUAUAUAUGCAUAUAUAUAUAUAUAUAUACACAUGCGUAUAUAUGCAUGCGUAUAUAUGCAUGCGUGUGUGUGUGUGUGUGUGUGUUGUUUUGUAAUGUCCCAUGUUCGUUGGCUGCAGAACUAAUGGAAAAAUUAUAGUCUAAAAGAUAGUGCGGUGGGGGUGAGGUGGUAGAGGGUUGUAUGGCUUGUUAUGAUAAUUGACACAAUAAUCUAGAUAUCGGUGAGGGUGGGGUGAGUGUGGAGAGGAUGUGAUGCAGAGGGAGGGGAGGUGAAUAUUGGGGAAGAUGAUGAUAAAGUUUAGGGAGAUAGAGAGAGAGCUAGGGUUGAAAUCUGACAACCAUGUAGUAAAUUACAUACACAGAUAGACACACACAUACACGCAUAUAUACAUACAUAUAUGUGUGUGUGUGUGUCUACAUGCAUACAUAUAUAUACAUACACACGCCUACAUAAACACACACACACACACAUAUAUGUACGUAUUACAGACACUUACUCGUUAUGAUCAUAAUAAAUAGGUUUAUGGCACUGGAGGAGUUCAGAAUUAUCUCCCUUGCCUACGGAAGAAUAUGGAUGUCCUCCAUGUUACGAAGAUAAUUUUGAGUGAUAUCAUGAGAAUUUGUUUAAUCCUGGAGUCAAAACUGCAUUUAAUUUUGCUUUGAAGAAAACAAAAAAAUUAUGGUACACCCAUCAAUUCCUGACUCGCAAGAACAUAGCUGAACACCUCGUACAGAGAGAGAGAGAUACAAACACACGGUCGACCCAUGGCUAUAGUCGAAGACACUUGCCCGAGGUGCCACGAAACCAUAUGGUUGAGAAUUAAACUAACCACAUAUCAUAAAAAAUACAAAGAACUCUGAAACUAAAGAAUUAUAUGGUUCAUCUCUCUCUUCACUUUAAAUGCAUCUUGCUAUAUAACUCAUAGCUUCUCAAAUGUUAUACACAAACACUUCCUACAUAAUAAUCUUUAUUACAAUCCUUUGAAUAAAUAUAAUAUCAUACUUAGAAACAGUUGUACUCAAAAUCUGGUUACAGCUGUCAUCAGAUGUAGCACAAACACUUCAGAAUAAGUAUCAUAUAAAUAUUCCGAAUGAGACAUCCCAUUACAGAUACAUUAAUAUCACAUUCUCCGGAUGAUAAGUGUCUCACAAAGGUACUUGUGUAACGAUGGAAAAUGUUCUCAGUAAAGAGCUGGUUAAUAAAAUUAUAUUAACCUGACUGUGAAUACUUAUAAGAAUAGUUAUGAUCGUCACACAUAUUCCUUCAGACAAAUUCCUUUUUUUUUUAAGUGAAAAUAUUUUAAGUCCAUUCUUCUUUUUUGUUUAAUUCAUACGCGCAUGAUGUCAUAGCACCGACUACCUGCUUAAUUAUUGUGGACUGUCAGUGAUUAAGUAUCAUAUAGAUUCAUGCACUACUUUCGACCAUACAUACAUACGACACACACACACACACACGAUAGACACACGAUAAACACACCGUCAGCCUGAAAAUCUGAUAGAUAGAUAGAUAGAUAGAUAGAUAGAUAGAUAGAUAGAUAGAUAGAUAGAUAGAUAGAUAUUAAAUAUAUAUAGAUAGAUACCACUUUCAAUAUUUACUUACCUACUUCAUUAACGGAAUUAAAACAAACGACAUUUCCUGACAAGGAAGAUUACUCAUACCACCAUCGCGAUAUGAGUAAUCUUCAUUACUUUUGUACCUUAUGAAAAAUGGAGAUCACUUCCGGAUUAGAUCACUUCCGGCAGCAGUUCUUGUCAGUUCGAUACAUGUUUUGUUGAGUUAGUCAAGAAAUAUAUCAGCCGACAUAUUGCUACUGCUUGUUUCUUAAUUAUUUUGAUAGUUGUACACAUAAAUAAACACUCACGCACACACUCUCUCUACUUCUCCCUAUCUCUCUCUCUCUCUCUCUCUCUCUCUCUCUAUCUCUCUCUCUCUCUCUCACACACACAAUAUAUAUGUAAGAUGCUUAUGUCAAAAGAUGGGAGGAAGUGAGGAAGAAGAGGGGAAAGAAGCAGAGUUACUAAGUGACAAAGAUAAAAAGAAAAGGAGAAACACAGAAACUAAAAGACGUUUGUCGUUAUCUAAUAUUCAACGACAUACAACUACGUGCAUAUAUAUGCGCUUGUGUAUAUAUAUAUACACAAACAUACAUACAUACAUACAUGCAUGCAUGCACAUAUAUAUAUAUAUAUAUAUAGGGAUGUAUAUAUAUAUAUAUAUAUAUGUGUGUGUGUGUGUGUGUGUGAAAGAAUGCAUGUGCACUUAUUAAUUUCCGAUUAAGCGUUAUAGCGGAAUGAUGUUAGAUAAAACUCGACGAAUUAUCUUCUUCGCUUACAUAUAUAUAUAUAUAUAUAUAUAUAUAUAUAUAUAUAUAUAUAUAUAUAUAUAUAUAUACAUACAAAUAAAUCUGCAUGUAUUCUUUUAUUUGUUUCGGUCGUUUGACUGCGGCAAUGCUGGAGCACCGCCUUUAGUCGAACAAAUCUACUCCAGGACUUAUUCUUUGUUAGCCUGGUACUUAUUCUAUCAUUGAUUUCUGCCGAACCGCUAAGUUACGGGGACGUAAACACACCAACAUCAGUUGUGAAGCGAUGGUGGGUGACAAACACAGACACACACACACACACACACAUACGAAGGGCUUCUUUCAGUUUCCGUCUACCAAGUCCACUCACAAGGCUUUGGUCGGCCCGAUGCUAUAGUAGAAGACACUUACCCAAGGUGCCUACGCAAUGGGACUGAACUUGGAACCAUGUGGUUGGGAAGCAAGCUGCUUACAACACGGCCACGCUAGUACCUAUAUAUAUAUAUGUGUGUGUGUGUGUGUGUGUGUGUGUGUGUGUAUGUGUGUGUGAGUGUGUAUAAUCAAAACAAAAGACGAAGACGGGUGUAAGUAACAAACAGAUGUGUUAGUCUAACGCUCGGGAAGUGAGAAAGUCUUUUAUGUUUCGAGCCUGCGCUCUUCGACAGAAAGGGACACAGAAAUAAACAGGGAGAGAAAAUAGAAAAAAGGUUUAGUGGCUAGUGAUCUAUCAUGGCGAAUAUAUAUAUAUGCGACAUGGAGAGAUGGAAAAGCAGCUUAGACCCUACUACAUGUCUAAACUCAAGGACAGAACUUUUCGGAUCAUGCCCAUAUGUGACAAAAUUUUUGUUACGUUUUUGGUCACCCCAAGAAUACAGAUAGAACUUGCUUUCUAUAUUAUGUCCAAAAAAGUUUUUUAUCUCAUUAUACCUUUUAUUUUUUCAUAUAUUUUUAUAUUUUCACAUAAUUUUUUCUGUACUCUUCCAUCCUGCAUUUUUUCCUGUGCCUAUAUAGACGUGUAUAUAGAUUCAUCUGUACACGUGUGUGAAUAUGUAUGAGUGGGCGGGUGUGUAUGUAUAUAGAUGUGUGUGGGCAUAAGAAUACAUAUAUAUAUAGACGUUUUUACUUAGUAUUUUUACAAUUUUUUCCGUUUUUUUGGCGCAUGUAUAAUCUUUUUUUGUGUUUGCGUGUGUGUGUGUAUGCGUAUAUAAACAUGUGCGGGUAUGUGCAUAUAUGGGUGUGUGUGUGUAUAUGUGCAUAAGGGUAUGUCCGUAUAUGAACGUGGUUUUUAUGCUUUGUAUACUUCCUUAUUGUUUUUUUCUGUAUUGUUACCUUUAACCAUGUUUUUUCUUGUGCUUGUGCGUAUAUAGACGUUUGUAUGAAGCUUUACGGUACGCGUGGGUGUGUAUGAGUUUGUAUAUAUAUGCGUAUACAUUUUGCGAAAAAUGCGAGUGAAGAUGUGUACGUUUUCAUAGUGACGUAUACGUACACACGUGGAUGCGCGAGCGCACAUGUGAGCGUAUGAGUAGCCAUGCUUACGUGUUUACUAUGAACUUUUAACCUUAAUUUAUAUAAGUAGCGGAAUUAUAACACAGUAAUUUCCCUUUGAAUAACGGUAUUUUUUCAUAGCGUUUUUUCAGAUGGCCAGAUAACCGAAGAGCCGGUGUUGUGGAUUUCCACUUCGGCAUCCGAAACUCAGAGUUUUAUCUUAGCUAUUGAAUAAUGGUAACAUAUUAAUUUACAGAUAUAUAUAUAUAUAUAUAUAUAUAUAUAUAUAUAUAUAUAUAUAUAUAUAUAUAUAUAUAUAAAUAUUAUAUGAAUAUGAGGUGAAUAUAGAUUUAUUAUUUCCAUGUGGUUUCCAUAUGAUUACAGUUGUUUCGUCAUUUUCCCCGUAUAGUAUUAAUUUCAGCAUUCCGAAUUAUAUACGUACAUUCUACAUCAAUAUGCACGUUUAACAUUAUAUAAUGCAGUUGUAGAGAUAUAUAAUAGAGAACACGAACUCGUGGUUAAACAUAUAGGAACACAUUGGAUAUAUUCAGGAUUCAGUUGAAUUUGGUAGUGAAGUGAAAUUCUUCUGUCUGAUGAAGUGUGCUAGUAAUUCUAAAGGCCCAGUCUUUAGAAUUUGGCCUCUAGAAUUACGUGAAGCAUACACAUGCCUGUGGAAUACACAGCCACUUACAAAAUUAUUAAGCAAACAACUAGAAUACCCAUCGUCGAAACGGACGAAGGUUCAGUGAGCGAGUGUGUGUGUAUGCAUGUGUGUGUAUGUAUGAUUGCGUGUGUGUAUGUGUGUGCCUGAUUUCUAUAUUUUUGUUUGUUUGAAUAAAUAUAAGAAUCAACAAAAACAUGAGUUUUUCUUCUCCUCCUGUUCCCUCUUCACUAAAUGCAGUCCGCAUCAAUUACAACAAUCUCUUCCUCUCCCAUUGUUAAAAAAAAAAGUCACGUGGUAUUUCUAGUAAUAACGCUUUUCCAUUUAAACUAAAACAUAAUAGAAUUUGCAUUCUUUGUGUUGCUUCCUGAAACUAUACAACAAGUCAGUUGUACUUUAAAUUUUUAAAUCUUUCUGUAUUUUAAAAUUUGGAAUUACAUUCAGAGUGAAAAUAACAAAAUGGACCAAAAUUUAUAAUGACAGCCACGUUAAUAAUAAUAAUAAUAAUAAUAAUAAUAAUAAUAAUAAUAAUAAUAAUAAUAACAAUAAAAAUAAUAAUAAUGAUGAUAAUAAUAAUAAUAAUAAUAAUAAUAAUAAUAAUAAUAAUAAUAAUAAUAAUAAUACAGGAAUAAGACCGAAUCUGAGUCAAACCAAAAUAAUAAUGGUAAUAAUAAUAACAAUAAUAAUAAUAAUAAUAAUAAUAAUAACAAUAAUAAUAAUAAUAAUAAUAAUAAUAAUAAUAAUAAUAAUAAUAAUAAUAAUAAUAAUAAUAAUAAUAAUAAUAAUAAUAAUAAUAAUAAUGCGUAAUUACUGCGAAGCUUUUGUGUGAUAUUGUAUUUCAGUGAGUAAGCUACUACGAAGAUAAAUAUAAUUUGACUUUUUCAGUCCAUAAUAAUAGCAACUUAUAGUUCUGGUGAUCAUCUUUAUUUUUAUUUUAAAUUUAUUUGUUUUAUUUAUUUAUUUUUGUCUUGGUGUUUUAGCUUCAUAGAAAUUCAUAGAAUUUCUCCAGUCUCUUCUGAAUUCCAAUAUCGUUUCGGCGGAAACAACGCCAUCCAUUUAUUUCUGUAAUGAUCCUUAAUAUUAAAAUUCAAAAGUUCAUAAUAUAAUUUUGUGCACACUGUGAUGACGGGUGAGUUUCGGGAUUUGGGGGGGGGUUCUUUUUUUUUUUUAUUUUAGCCUGGCCUUUUCCGUGAUGAAAUGAAAACUAUGUUUGGAAAAGGUUUGCUGGUGGCACAAAUAAUCAGGGUAGAGGUGAGAUCAGGGUAGAGGUGUGAUCAGGGUGGUGGUGAGAUCAGGGUAGAGGUGAGAUUAGAAAUGUUUGGGAGGUCUGCAGGUGUCGCAGACAAUCAUGGCAGCAGUGUGAUGCGUUGUAUAUGUUGAAAGUCUACUGACGGUAUAGGCAACAAGAAUAACUGGCACUCUGUCGGAUGUGGGUUCCAGUCGAUCUGAUCAACAGAAAAUCCGGCUUGUGAAAUUAACGUACAAGUGGCUGAGUACUCCACAGACACGCAUACCCUUAACAUAGUUACAGGGAGAAUCAGCGUGGCACAGAAUGGGACAAGGCUGACCUCUGAAUUACAGUUGCUACUCAAUUUGCCGAGAAUCUUCAAAUUCCUCUUGCUACUGUUAAUAGAAUUAUAGUGCAGUCCAAAAGCCAAGGAAAAAAAUCGACCUGGGUCCACGGAAAGGAAGCUUCGUUGUUUGAAGAGAAUUGUGGAAAACGAACUCCGUUCGAAGGCUUCUGUCAUUGCAAAACAGCUGGAAGUUAGUCCAAGAGCGUGUGUUACAUAUCUGCAUAAGCUUGGGUAUUAUGGACGGAGCAGCUAGAAGAAAAUCUCUCCUUCAACCAAUUAAUUUCAUGAAAAGAAAGAAAUGGGCUGAGAUGUCAGAAAAAUCCAGUUCAUUUUGGGAUAGAGUGAUUUUCUCAGAUGAAUCCAGAUUUGCAUUAUUUUCAAACAGAUGACGUGUUUGGGUCGGGAGGCUUCCCAAUCAAGAAUUUGAUUUAAAACGACUCCAACCAACUGUGAAACAUGGCGGUAUCUCUGUAAUGGUAUGGGGAGCUGUUACCAGCAAUGGUCGUUCUGAGCUGAUCGAAUGUGUUGGAUCAAUAAACUCUGAAAAGUACAUCGAAAUAUUUAAGCAAGGACUACUUCCGAUGUCUUCACACGAUAACAUAACGAAAAAGGAGUUUUUAUUCAUGGAGGAUGGGGCUCCAUGCUACUCAACGAAAAGGAAUCAACAAUGGUUGACUGAAAAUGGGAUCAAAAAGCUUCGUUGGCUGAGCCAAUCUCCUGGAACGAACCCAAUUGAAAAUCUUUGGAGAAUACUAGAUAGAGCUAUACGAAAAACUCGACCGAAACCUAAAUCUGAAGUUGAAUUGUUUCGAUUGUUGCGUGAAAAGUGAGCAGAAAUUCCACAAAGCUCAUCAGUUCAAUGCCAAAAAGAGUUUCUGAGUUAAAAACUGCAAAGGGAAUGUCAGCUAAAUACUAAAGUAUGUAGUCCUACCUAUCGAUUACAUUUCAAUUGUUCGCUUUGCAUAUUAAAUAAAAUAAAAUAUUGAAAAUUAAAGGUGUCUAUUUACUUCCUGCAUGUCUGUGUGUGUAUAUAUAUAUUUAUACAGACCUACAUAUACAUAUAUACAGACCUAUAUAUAUAUAUAUACAUAUAUAUAUAUACAUAUAUACAUAUAUAUAUACAUAUAUACAUAUAUAUAUAUACAUAUACAUAUAUAUAUACAUAUAUACAUAUAUACAGACCUAUAUAUAUAUAUAUAUAUAUAUAUACAGACUAUAUAUAUAUAUAUAUAUAUAUAUAUAUAUAUAUAUAUAUAUAUAUAUAUAUAUAUAUAUAUAUAUAUAUAUAUAUAUAUAUAUAUAUAUAUAUAUAUAUAUAUAUAUAUAUAUAUAUAUAUAUAUAUAUAUAUAUAUAUAUAUAUAUAUAUAUAUAUAUAUAUAUAUAUAUAUAUAUAUAUAUAUAUAUAUAUAUAUAUAUAUAUAUAUAUAUAUAUAUAUAUAUAUAUAUAUAUAUAUAUAUAUAUAUAUAUAUAUAUAUAUUAGCUAACCUUUAAAUGGGAAGAUCUGCAAACAGAUCUCUGACUUGUUUGGGAGAAUUUGAUGCAAUUGCUUCCUCCCAGAGUCAUAUUCUAAUGAUGAUUAUAUUCGUUGCAAAAAAUCAUGUAAAAAAAUCGCCGUAAACAAUCGUAAUAAUGAAGACAUAGGAAUCCAAAAUUUCAGGAUUGCAGGUCCGGAUUCGGCCCGGGAUGCUUUUUAAUUUACUCACGGAGUUAACCUUUAGAGUAUAAAAAUUGUUGUCAUACAAAGAAAAUUUGUUGCAAAAAGUCACGUAAGGAAAUCGCCGAAAACAAUCACAGUAAUGAAAACUUGGGGAUCCAAAAUUUCAGGAUUGUGGGUCCGGAUUCGGCUCGAAAUGUUUUUAAUUUACUCACAGAGUCAGCCUGAUUCCAAAAUGGUAUGAUAUGUUGGGCUACGGCCUCUAGGAGUAAAGUUGGAAAAGUGUGACACACUGACAUUCACAUUUAUUAUAUUAUAUUAUUAUUAUAUCAUAUUAAGGCGACGAGUUGGCAGAAUCGUUAGCACGCCGUGCGAAACGCUUGGCUGUAUUUUGUCUGCCGUUAGAUUUUGAGUUCGAAUUCCACCGAGGUUGACGUUGCCUUUCAUCCGUCGGAGUCGAUAAAAUUAGUACGAUUUGCGUACUGGAGUCGAUGUUAUCGAAUUACUCCCUUUCCCAAAAGUUGAGUCUUUGUGCUUCCAGUAGAAAAGAUUUAUUAAAGUUGAAGAAGUGUGACAUUUAUUAUAUUUUAUUUUGGGGAAACUUUGUUUCAAUUAGAGUGUACGUUAUAUAUAUAUAUAUAUAUAUAUAUAUAUACGUUUAAAUAUUUGUUGUGCAAGAUUUUUUUAUGUGAAAAAAGUAAGUGAGAAGAAAACAAAGGACCACUGAUGCGGUCACAGGAGUGUGACGAAAGAACUUUGGCCGAAAUAAGAUUAAGAUUAAUGUAAAAAAUAAAUAUCACUGAAUAUAUAUAUAUAUAUAUAUAUAUAUAUAUAUAUAUAUAUAUAUAUAUAUAUAUAUAUAUAUAUAUAUAUAUAUAUAUAUAUAUAUAUAUAUAUAUAUAUAUGCGCAGGAGUGGCUGUGUGGUAAGUAGCUUGCUAACCAACCACAUGGUUCCAGGUUCAGUCCCACUGCGUGGCAUCUUGGUCAAGUGUCUUCUGCUAUAGCCCCGGGCCGACCAAUGCCUUGUGAGUGGAUUUGGUAGACGGAAACUGAAAGAAGCCUGUCGUAUAUAUGUAUGUAUGUGUUUGUGUGUCUGUGUUUGUCCCCCUAGCAACCGGUGCUGGUGUGUUUAUGUCCCCGUAACUUAGCGGUUCGGCAAAAGGGACCGAUAGAAUAAGUACUGGGCUUACAAAGAAUAAGUCCCGGGAGUCGAUUUGCUCGACUAAAGGCGAUGCUCCAGCAUGGCCGCAGUCAAAUGACUGAAACAUGUAAAAGAGUAAAAGAGUAUAUAUAUAUAUGUGUGUGUGUAUGUGUAUACAUAUGUAUUAAAGAAAGCAAAAAAUAAAACAAAAAUGAUAGUGUUCAGUAUGUUGGCGACAGGAAUUUCUGUCAAAGAGACAUGCUCACAGUUGUACAUCAUCCCCUCUUUCUCUCACAUACCCACUGUUUCUCUCUCUUUUAUUAUUACUCCCACCACACUACUACCUUUAAUAAAACAUCGUCAACUCUCCCUUUGUCUCUCUCUUUUUCUCCCUCUCUUUUUCCUUCUCUCUCUAUCUUCGCCACAACAUUCACUGUCUCUAUGCCUACUAUUACUCUCACCCCAUCAUGAGGAAAAGAAGGAGUGUCAUUGAAUAGUGAGAGGGGGGUCUAAGUGUGUCACACUGACACACAGAAAUUAGUUUUUGCAUUCAUUCUAAUAUAUAUACAUACAGACCUACAUAUUUAUAUGUGUGAGUAUAUAUAUAUAUAUAUAUAUAUAUAUAUAUAUAUAUAUAUAUAUAUAUAUAUAUAUAUAUAUAUAUAUAUAUAUAUAUAUAUAUAUAUAUAUAUGCGCAUAUAUAUGACAUAUUUCUUAGAUAGAUAGAUAGAUAGAUAGAUAGAUAUACGUUGGGCCUUUUUUAGUUUCCGACUAAUAAAUCCACUCACAGGGCCUUUAUCUCUCUCGGGCUAUCGUAGAAGACACUCACUCGAGGUGCAGAGGAAUUGAACCAAGAACCAUGUGGUUGGCAAGUACAUGUGUGCGUGUACACACACAGAUAUACACACAUACUUACGUAUGUACAUACAUAUACACACAUACGCCUACUUUAGGUUGUGUGCGUGUGUGUGUGUGUGUGUGUGUAUGAUGAGAUAUAAAUUUUAAAACAAAUAAAGAAAUGCUCGUAUCUCGCUGAUACAUAGACAAGAAGCCUCGACCUAGAGUACCCCACGACUGCAUCUGCUAACAACCCAUCCCCUAUUCGAACUCGUGACAAUUUCCUGAAUGGAACGGUGAAAAUUGCAUCUAAGCGUCUAAUGUCCACCAGGAAUGGUUCUUUCAAGGCCAUUGCUGACGUCUUUACCAUGACUCGAUUAUAUGAGCAUCGUCUAAAAACCGCUCCCUAAAUCCUCUUCAAUUUUCAGGGCAUUGUCCUCAUCAGGAUGUUCAGCCUUGCUAAACAUUCAGUGAUUCUCCUGUCCUGUUUUGCUACAAUUAAACUAUUUUUAUAUUUUUUCUGCAUUGUUGUAUUGGUUCUUGUUGUCAUAAGGGUGUAAGUGUUGUUUUUUUCUGGCGAGCAACCAUCUUAAGUUGAGUGUAAACAAAUAAAAUUACGUUCAAAAGAAAUGUCAAAAACUGACAAAUUUUAUGUGUUUCGUGAUACAGGGAGAUUGCUGAAGUAUUGCAGAAGACUUCCUUCAAAGAAAAUAUCCAAAAAGAAAUGGAUAGCGGAUCAAAUCAGGACUUAAAAAGCCAAAAGAAACGUCUCUAACCAUUUUGUUCGACGCUAUUCUUGGUAUUAUCUGUUAUCUGGUAUCUUCAGUGGUUGGACACCAUCCAUUGAUCCUCGAAUCCUUUAAUUGUUCAACAGCACUUUCUUGACCCUUGUUUGCCUGCAGCACACUCCACACUUUAAGUAAUUAUUUGGCCCUGAUCCCCCGACCUAAAGAUAACUUCCCCCUUACCUUUUAUUAUUGACAGAUGCCCUGAAAAGACACGUGACCACUGCCCUCAAAUACCCGCCAACCACCAUACCUUGACAAAACAAUCAAAACAAGUUGCCUUGAUUUAUGUUGUGUGUUCAAAUUCUGCUUGGAUUAAUUUUGUAUUUUAUCUCUGAGGGUGGAAUCAAUUAAAGCCACUAAUGCCCUUCACUAUGAUUGUGUCCAAAAUUCCAAAUAUAGAUCAUUAAUAUUUACAUUAUUUAAGGCAGCGAGCUGACAGAAUAGUUAGCAAGCUGGACGAAGUGCUUAGCGGUAUUUCGCCCGUCGCUGCGUUCUGAGUUCAAAUUCUGCCGAAGUCAAUUUUGCCGUUCAUCCUUUCGGGUAUAUAAAUUAAGUACCAGUGAAAUACUGGGGUCGAUGUAAUUGACUAGUCCCGUCCCCCACAAUUUCAGUCCUUGUGCCUUUAGUAGAAAGGAUUAUUUAAGGCGGCGAGCUGGCAGAAUCGUUAGCAUGCCGGGUGAAAUGCUUAGCGGUAUUUCGUCUGCCGCUACGUUCUGAGUUCAAAUUCCACCGAGGUCGACUUUGCCUUUCAUCCUUUCGGGGUCGAUUAAAUAAGUACCAGUUACGCACUGGGGUCGAUGUAAUCGACUUAAUACCUAUGUCUGUCCUUGUUUGUCCUCUCUGUGUUUAGCCCCUUGUAGGUAGUAAAGAAAUAGGUGUUUCGUCUGUCACUACGUUCCGAGUCCAAAAUCCCCCAAGAUCGACUUUGCGUUUCAUCUUUUCGGAGUCGAUAAAAUAAGUACCAGUUAAGCAUUGGGGUUGAUGUAAUCAAAAUACUCUCUCCCCGGAACUUGCUGACCUUGUGCCAAAAUUUGACAUCAAUAUUUGCUUUAAUUAUUGAUUAUUUAGACAUUGCCCGGGGCUGAAAUACAAAACAAACAGAGGACGUAAAUUAUGUCAGAAUCAACGUUCUUUUAUAGAAUUCUAUUAUUCUUAGAAUAGACUUGAUUAAAGGUGGGAAAGAAAGCCUGAAAAUGAUGAUGACGAAGCAAUUGAUUGGCUGAAAAGUGAUAGGUUAAUGAUCAAGACAAGAGGUUGAAUAUCGAUGUUUAGCUUUGGCACGAGAUCACAGAUUGAUAGAGGAAGAGAAAGAGAAAAGUUUAUUAAAUUGAGGUAUUUUUAUAAGUUAUUUUUACAGAUUUCUGAAAGAAUAAAGAGCUAAGUCAAAUUAUCACUAGCGGGAUUCGAACUCGCAACGUCAAGAUACGUUUAUACUUUUUAGUUUUAUUAUUUAAUCAGAGAACGGCAGAAUCGUUAGCACGCCGGCGAAAUACUCAGCGGCAUUUCGUCCGCCGCUGCGUUCUGAGUUCAAAUUCCGCCGAGGUCAGCUUUGCCUUUCAUCCUUUCGGGGUCGAUUAAAUAAGUACCAGUUACGCACUGGGGUCGAUAUAAUCGACUUAAUCCGUUUGUCUGUGCUUGUUUGUCCUCUCUGUGUUUAGACCCUUGUGGGUAGUAAAGAAAUAGGCAUUUCGCCCGGCUUUACAUUCUGGAUUCAAAUUCCGCCGAGGUCGACUGUGCCUUUCAUCCUUUCGUGGUCGAUAAAUGAAGUCCCAGUUUAGUACUGGGGUAGAUGUAAUUGGCUACCCCAUCCCCCAAAUUUCAGGCCGUGUGCUUGUAGUAGAACGGAUUAUUUAGUCACAAAAAGGCGACGAGCUGGCAGAAUAGUCAGCGCGUCGAACAAAAUGCUUACCGGCAUUUCGCUGGUCGACUUUGCUUCACAUCGUUUCGGAAUCGAUAAUUAAGAACUGGAGUCGAGUCGAUGGUAUCGAUUAGACCACUCCCUCAAAAUUUUAGGCUUUGUAACUAUUGUAGAAAGGAUACCUCUAAGCAUUUCGUCCGGCGUGCUAACAUUUCUGCCAGCUCGCCGCCUUAUACUUUUAUAUAUUCACAUAUUCACCCUUCAGCCUUUACGUUUCGAUUUCCACCAACGAAGAGUCCCAUCUGCGGUUUCUGACCGACCACAACCAACUGGCGUUGGUCUCAGGUGUGAUGGAUCUCUGCCAAGUAGUCCCUUUCUUCUAGCUAUUUCCCAACAGAUUUUUUCUUUCUCCAUUUUUUUCGUUCUCUCUCUCUCUCUCUCUCUCUCUCUCUCUCUCUCUCUCUCUCUCUCUCUCUCUCUCCUUUUUACCUCUUAAUCCUUUCUAUCGAAUAGUGUAGGUUCUAAACGUAAAAGAUUUUCCCAUUCUUCCCAAGCGUGAAACUAAUACAUCUCCUUAUUGUUUCGACAUUUGUCUUCAUCUUUUGUUUUUCUGUAAAUUUGAACUGUGUGUGUGUGCGUGAAUUUUUUAUCUUUUUUCCUUUUUCUUUCUCUACCUAUUAGAGUAACUUCCCUUUUAUUCAACGGUUUUUCAUAGCGUCUGUGACCAUUAAUAGCCGACAAGAAUGCAUGGUAGCUCUUCGCCCCGACAUUCGAAACUCUGAGUACUAUAAUGACAACCUUUUGCUGUUUGUUCUAAAUUAUAACAUUUAUGAAUAAUCCUCUAUUUCUCUAAUAUCGAGGUCUCAUUCUUCUAUUAUUACAUUUUAUUGUUGUUAUUAUUAUUAUUAUUAUUAUUAUUAUUAGAUAUCGUUUACUUGUUUCUGUUAUUUGACUGCGGCCAUGUUGGAGGACCACCUUGAAGAGUUCUAGAACAAAUCCGCCUAGGAACUUAUAUUUCUUUAAGUCUAGCAUUCUAUAGGAAUCUUGUGCCGAACCGCUAAGUAACGAGAAAUUAAAUGCACCAACGCAAGUUGCUAAGCGAUGGCGAAACACGCACACACACACACACACACACACACACACACACACAAACACACACAGGCUAUUUCAUGCUUCCGUCUACAAGAUCCACUCACAAGGCUUAGGCCGUCCCGAGGCUAUUGCGAAAGACACUUACCCAAAGAGUGACGCAGUGGGAUUGAAUCGGAAUUGUGUGGUUGGGAAGCAAGCUUCUUACCAGACAGCUAUCUAUGAUACAUAUUUCUGCGCGCACAAGAAGGCGCGUGGUUAAUAUAUUCGGCUCACGAUCCUAACGUCGUGAGUUCGAUACCCGGCGGCGCAUCGCAUCAUUAAGCAUAACGCUUUAUUUCACGUUGGCAGCAACGAGGAGUACCUGUAUUUCAAAGGGCCGGCCUUGUCGCACUCUGUGUCACGCUGAACGUCCCCGAGAACUACAAUAAGGGUACACAUGUCUGUGGACUGCUCAGCCACUUGCACAUUAAUUUCACGAGCAGGCUGUUUCCGUUGAUUGGAUCAACUGGAACCCUCGUCGUCGGAACCGACGGAGUACCGUAUUAAUAUAUAUAUAUAGAUAUAUUUAUAUUUAUAUUUAUAUUUAGCCAUGUAUGUAGGUGUAUACGUAUAUAGGUAUUCAUAAAUGGAUGUGUGUACGUUUUUAUAACUGUAUAUAUGUAGGUGUGUGUCUUUCUGUAUGUGCUUCAGUUUGAAGGCCUGUUUGUAUAUGUGUACUGCUCAGUAAAUUGUGAGCAUAAAUGACGUUCUAGGAGGAUAGCGACGUCUACACACAGACACACACAUAGAUAAAUACAUUCAUUCUUAUCUCUUUGUGUGUGUGUGUGUGUGUGUGUGUAUAAUGUAUAUAUAUAUAUAUAUCAUGUGUGUGUGUGUGUGUAUGUGUGCCAAUGCGUGUGUAUUUAUGUAUGUUUUAUAUAUAUAUCUCAGUAUAUAUAUGUGUAUGUAUGUGUAUGCAUAUGCAUAUAUAUACAUAUGUAUAAAUAAAGAUAAAUAUAUAUAUAUAUAUAUACAUAUACAUAUACAUAUAUAUACAUAUAUACUCACACACAUGUAUGUAUUAGUGUGUGUGUAUAUAUAUCUGCAUCUAUAUAUAUAUGUAUGUAUGUAUAUAUGUAUACGUAUAUGUGUCUACGUAUCUAUACGUCGCGUAUGUGUAUGUGUGUGUGUGUGUGUCUACGUAUGUGUAUCAGUGUGUGCGUGCGUGAGUAUACACGCGUGUGUGUGUGUGUGUGUGCGUGUGCGUGUGUGUGUGUGUGUGAAUAUAAAACUAACAUUUUCUGCACGCUAUUUACCCUAUCCACUUAGUGACUCCCCUACUCCAAUAUUCCUCCAACAACCACACACACACCCCUCUAGAUACAAACUUUCUCUCUCUCUCUCUUCUUUUGCCUCUCUCUCUCUCUACCUCCCUCUCUCUCUCUCUUUCCACUCUUUCCAUUCACUUCUUCAUCUCCAAAAGCCUCUAACUAUUGCCUCUCUCUCUUUUCUCUCUCUCUCUCUCUCUACCUCUCUCUCUCUCUCAAUAUGUCUGUCUGUAUGUCUAUCCCAAAUAUGCCUGCGGAUUUGCUUCAAACAGCCUCCAUUACAAAGCAAUUUUCUAUAAUUUUAUGCAAUUUUCUGUAAUUAUUUCCUGGAAUAUAAUUACCAGAUGACUAAAGUUAUAUAUGUACCUAUGUGUGCAUGUAUAUAUAUAUAUAUAUAUAUAUAUAUAUAUAUAUACACAUAUAUGUUUAUAUAUACAUACAUACAUAUAUAUAUAUAUAUAUAUAUAUAUAUAUAUAUAUAUAUAUAUAUACAUAUAUGUUUAUAUAUACAUACAUACAUAUGUAUAUAUAUAUAUAUUUAUAUGAGUGUCUGUGUAUGUAUGUAUAUAUACACAUUUAUGCAUACUUACAUAUAUAUAUAUAAGUAUAUAUAUGUACAUACAUGAAUACUUACAUAGAUGUAUUUAUAUGAAUAUGUAUGUAUGUGUAAAAACGUAUAUAUAUAUAUACAUAUGUAUGUGUGUAUGUAUGUAUGUAUCCACACAUACAUGCAUAUGUAAGUAUUUGUACUACUUUAUGUGUAGUCGCUCAUUCAACGUCACACUGCGACUAUUCUACAGUUGUAUGUAUGUGUGUAUAUAUAUAUAUAUAUAUAUAUAUAUAUAUACACAUCUACAUAUAUAUAUAUGUACAUAUACACAUGUGUAUCUAUACUUUCCUAUAUAUACGCAUACCCUCUCAACAUAGCUCUCUCUCUCUCUCUCUGUCUCUCUCAUUGUCUAUGUAUAUAUAUACCUUAUUCACUCUUCCCUUUUCUUUCCUUGUCUCCCUCUCCUUCUCCUUCUCUCGCUUUCUUUCCUGAAGGUUUUCACUUAUAUCUCUUCAAAAAUAUUUCUAGGCAUUUUUUCUCUCGGUAUAUUGUAUUUCAUUUCAUAUGUGCGCCGCUUUCUACAUACGUAUCUAUAUAUACAUAUAUUAAAACAAAGCAAAAACCUAAAUAUAUAGACACAAGUAUACACUUGUGUGUGUAUAUAUAUCAAUGUAGGCAUCUGGUUUUAUAUAUGUGUGUGAGUGCGUAUGUUUGUACAUCAUCGUCAUCAUCGUCAUCAACUUAUGUAGCUGGAAAGAGAGGUAGAUAAUAUAAAUACAGACACAUGUACAUGUAUAUGCAUAUGAGUAUAUGUAUAUAUAUGUAUAUAUAUAUAUAUAUAUAUAUAUAUAUAUAUGUAUAUAUAUGUAUAUAUAUA
rnacentral:lncRNA from 1 species